GAGGAAUUUUGCGCAAUGGCCGCAAGGCUGACGCAGCAACGCCGCGUGGGUGAAGAAGGCCUUCGGGUCGUAAAGCCCUGUCAGGUGGGAAGAAACGCCUUUGGUCGAAUAGACUGGGGAAUUGACGGUACCACCAGAGGAAGCACCGGCUAACUCCGUGCCAGCAGCCGCGGUAAUACGGAGGGUGCGAGCGUUAUUCGGAAUUACUGGGCGUAAAGCGCGUGCAGGCGGUUUGACAAGUCUGAUGUGAAAGCCCCGGGCUUAACCUGGGAAGUGCAUUGGAAACUGUUGGACUUGAGUACUGGAGAGGAAGGGGGAAUUCCCGGUGUAGAGGUGAAAUUCGUAGAGAUCGGGAGGAAUACCAGUGGCGAAGGCGCCCUUCUGGACGGCUACUGACGCUGAGACGCGAAAGCGUGGGGAGCAAAC
rnacentral:rRNA from 1 species